UACGUAGGGUGCAAGCGUUGUCCGGAAUUAUUGGGCGUAAAGAGCUCGUAGGCGGUUUGUCGCGUCUGCUGUGAAAACGCGAGGCUCAACCUCGCGCCUGCAGUGGGUACGGGCAGACUAGAGUGCGGUAGGGGAGAUUGGAAUUCCUGGUGUAGCGGUGGAAUGCGCAGAUAUCAGGAGGAACACCGAUGGCGAAGGCAGAUCUCUGGGCCUUACCUGACGCUCAGGCGCGAAAGCUAGGGGAGCGAACAGG
rnacentral:rRNA from 1 species